CCUACGGGAGGCAGCAGUGAGGGAUAUUGGACAAUGGGCGCAAGCCUGAUCCAGCAAUGCCGCGUGGAUGAAGACGGCCUGCGGGUUGUAAAGCCCUUUAGGCGGGGAAGAACGGCCGGGCGCAAACAGCGCGCGGCUCUGACGUUACCCGCAGAAUAAGCACCGGCUAACUCCGUGCCAGCAGCCGCGGUAAU
rnacentral:rRNA from 1 species